GUAGUUGGCGGGGUAACGGCCCACCAAGCCUACGAUCAGUAACUGGUGUGAGAGCACGACCAGUCACACGGGCACUGAGACACGGGCCCGACUCCUACGGGAGGCAGCAGUAAGGAAUAUUGGUCAAUGGACGCAAGUCUGAACCAGCCAUGCCGCGUGGAGGAUGAAGGUCCUCUGGAUUGUAAACUUCUUUUAUCUGGGAAGAAACCCAUGAAUUCUUUUGUGGUUGACGGUACCAGAUGAAUAAGCACCGGCUAACUCCGUGCCAGCAGCCGCGGUAAUACGGAGGGUGCAAGCGUUAUCCGGAUUUACUGGGUUUAAAGGGUGCGUAGGCGGAAUGGUAAGUCCGUGGUGAAAUCCCCGAGCUUAACUUGGGAACUGCCAUGGAUACUAUCAAUCUUGAAUAUCAUGGAGGUAAGCGGAAUAUGUCAUGUAGCGGUGAAAUGCUUAGAUAUGACAUAGAACACCAAUUGCGAAGGCAGCUUACUACGCGAUAAUUGACGCUGAGGCACGAAAGCGUGGGGAUCAAACAGGAUUAGAUACCCUGGUAGUCCACGCCCUAAACGAUGAUCACUCGACAUCAGCGAUACACUGUUGGUGUCUGAGCAAAAGCAUUAAGUGAUCCACCUGGGAAGUACGAUCGCAAGGUUGAAACUCAAAGGAAUUGACG
rnacentral:rRNA from 1 species